rnacentral:rRNA from 1 species
GCCAGACUCCUACGGGAGGCAGCAGUGGGGAAUAUUGCGCAAUGGGCGAAAGCCUGACGCAGCGACGCCGCGUGAGGGAUGAAGGUCUUCGGACCGUAAACCUCUGUCAGCAGGGAAGAACGGUCACUGUGCUAAUCAGCAGUGAAUUGACGGUACCUGCAAAGGAAGCACCGGCUAACUCCGUGCCAGCAGCCGCGGUAAUACGGAGGAUGCGAGCGUUAUCCGGAUUUAUUGGGUUUAAAGGGUGCGUAGGCGGCAUUAUAAGUUAGUGGUAAAAUAUUGGGGCUUCACCUCACUACGCCAUUAAUACUGUAGAGCUAGAGAACAGACGAGGUAGGCGGAAUAAGUUAAGUAGCGGUGAAAUGCAUAGAUAUAACUUAGAACACCGAUAGCGAAGGCAGCUUACCAGACUGAGUCUGACGCUGAUGCACGAGAGCAUGGGUAGCGAACAGGAUUAGAUACCCUAGUACG